CAUUCACUAUUUCAAACCAAUUUUACAACACAUAAACACAGCAGCAGAUAGUUUUACUUUGAAGUAUCUUUUCUGUCAUAUCACCUUCUGAAUUUCUUUUGAUAAUGAGUACAUGUAGAAACAAAUGUCACAGUGAAAAAUAAUGUAUUUUAUACCUGGUUUGUGUUAAUAGUGUAAAUUUAUCAAUGAAUUUUGAGAAUAAAACUAGAGAACACAAACAAAAAAAUAUUCCUUUUCCCAAACAGACACGGUAAAUCACACAAACAUAAUUUGUUCUGUUAUAUAUUGUAAAGGUUAUGUUUAUACUACGAGCCGUGAAUGAGAUUAAUGAGUUUUCUCAGCACAGUAAACCUUCUCCACGGAAACAGAAGCUAAAUUGCAAUAAAUCAUGGGUUUAUGUUCACAUAUUUAUGGGAUGGGGAAGAUUUAGAGUUCCUCUGUAGAGAAAGCUAUCCCAAAGUAAAAGAAAAAAUUAUGGCUUCCAUAACAUAAAGGUAGAUAAACUGGAGCAAGCUCAAAGUUGUGCGUUCAAUACACUUUAAUAAUGUCAGUAAUUUAUUAAAAGUAAUUAUCACGGCAGAGUUGCAUGGUUGUACUUCACCAGAAGUGACAAAAUGCUAGUUCAAUAUGUUAGUUACCGUCACAUGAUUAUGUAUCAAGACCAAUUAAAUUACAACUGUCAUUUUUCCACGUUUACCUUAAAAUUAAAUACUAUUUUUCCUUCCAAAGAUGUGUCAACAGUAUUAUAGAUGAUAUAGUGCAAUCCAACCAGUAUAAAAUAUCUCAUAUCAUUUAUGCCAAUAAUUCAACCUUAUAUCACUGCCUAAGGAUAAAGUUUUUCUCUUUUUCUUGUUUUAGAAAAUAAGCCUACUAAUCAUACUUGGCUAUCUGGUGAGAAUGUACUCUGUAGAAUUUAUAUAUAUAUUUGGGGGGGUUGAUCACAAACUUUGUGCACAAACAUCUGGAAGAUAAUCUAGUAUCAUUUUUAAGUGAAUAUUAUCCUAGGCUCUUCAAUUUGUGGAAAAUUUAACUGAAGCCAAUCACUGGAAUACAAUUAUAUCAAUACUAACCCCAGAUGCGAAGAUCAUAGUGCAUUUUACUUUGUUCACAUCUUUAAAUGAAAGAUUCACUACUGGAAACAGUAGAGUGAACUUUCUACUCGAUAUCAUGAAAAGAAAAAACACUAGAAUCUGAUAUAUUUGCUUCUGAGAAUAUUAUUCAAUCUGUUCAACACACUGUGAUGCUAAGAGGAAAUCAGACUGCUUUUUAAAAAUCAAGAUCAUUUCAAGUGAAAGAUUGACAAGUAAAAAAAAUCUUAUGAUUAAAAAAUCAUAAAUUCUUAUGAUUUCAAUCUCAACUAACAGUGAUACAGUAAUAACGCUGAGCAAAGUAUUGUAAGGCCUGGAGUUCCCAUCGUGGCUCAGCAGAAACGAAUCUGACUAGUAAUGAUAAGACGCAAAUUCGAUCCUUGGCCUCACUCAGUGGGUUAAGGAUCUGGUAUUGCUGUGGCUGUGGCAUAGGCCGGCAGCUACAGCUCUGAUUUGACCAUAUGCCCUAAAAAGACAAAAAGUAAAAUAAAAUAAAAAAUAGUCUUGUAAGGCCUGGAAUAUCAUGUUUUAGAUGUUUCUAAAUGGACUGCUUUUCUCAACUAUCAUUAGAAAGAGAUCAGAGAAACUAGAGGUAAAUUUAGAACUUCUAUGUUCACAAGUAAGGAAAAAGUCUUUGUAAGAUCACACAGCCUCCAUUAAUGGUUCAUGGACUAGAGACUGUUUGAUGGAGGCAUCAGAAGGUAUUCAGAUUGGAGGGCAAGGGCAAUGUAACUGUUCUAACGCAGAUUUUCUUAGGUCUUUGGAGAAAUUUGUGUCCAUUAAUGGAGGAGCAAUCACCUUAAUAUUCCUAAAAUAUUUGAAUCCAUCCAGUUUAACUAUUUCCAAAUAGCAUAUUUAAUAGCACUACUCAAGAAAAGACCAGCAGCAUUAAAAUGAACAAUGCACAAUCGUAUCUCUAAAGCAGUGCACGACCAUAAUAUGAGAGAGUUUGGUAUUUUCUGAAAUGAAAAUUUAACCUUUUUUAAAUACUGUACAAUCUUGAAAAAAAAGUUUUUUGCUCUAUAUUGAUUUCUAGGAUUCAAUAAAUAGAAAACUGACAAAAAGUAAACUGUUUCUGAUUUGGCAUCCUUACAGAAACCUUAUUAUUAAAUAUCCCAGUCUAUAUGUAAACUGUUAUAUCUCACAUAUUCACAUAUAUAUUCCUAUAUUUUCACACUUCUGGAGAUGUCAGAUGACUUCGUUAAUAAUAAUUGUUAAUAAUUCGUUAACAAUAUUUGUUAAAUAAUCUGAUAUAAGCACAUCAUUUUUGUAUUAAUUACAGAAACCAAGAAAAUGAUUUACCUUAUUCCUAUCCCAAUUGCUUCAUUUCUUCCUAAAGGAAAUCAUAAAUAAGUUAAUUGUAUUCUUUAGUAGUGCAUUCACACUUGUUCAAAAUUUUCACAUUGGCUUGAUAUGAACCAUGAUAUUAUAGUAAAAUUUAAAACACCACACUCUUAAAAAUAAGUCAAUACAGAUAUUUAUUUGUGCCUUAUAAAGCCAUACUAUAUAAGAUGAAGUCAGAGGUAAGAAUAUUUUGGCUUUUGUGCUUUCUUAAAACGUACUCAUCUAUAGUCAGCUUUAUUUAGAAAUAUUUUACAUUUUCUUAUUUCCAAGAGAACUAUUGUGUUAUGUUAAAGUACAUGAAUCUAUCUCAAUUUUAAUGAAUAAAAUUUUAUAAAAAGAAUAAAGUUGCAACAGCAAAAGGACAUCAACACUCCUUCCCAUUUACACAUGACAGAGUCAUGCUCUACUAGGAAUUAGCUCCAGAAUCAAAAGCUAAAGAUGUUUAAAAUGUUAUUAAUGGUGAGUCAGAGGCAAUUAAAGGAAUGUUUCAUAGGUACAAGGUCCAUUCAAAUGUGCACAGGUUCCAAAGUUAGUAACGUUGUAGCAAGCUUGGAAUAAAAUAAACAGGCAGAUAAACUCAACUGACACCGAUAUGAUGGCAGAAGCAUUUAUUUUCAAAUGAUUCAAUUCUUCCUAGAACAAAAGAUUUAGGCAUAGAUAACUUCACUGAUGAAAUCUAUCAAAAUAGAAAUAAGAACACAUUUACCUAAAUUUACCAAAAUCCUUUUAAAUAUAGAGGAAGUGAGAAUAUGUCUCAACUCCUUUUACCAUACUAGCAUAACCUUAAUACCAAAACAUGGAAAACAUUAUUCAAAAAAUUACAAAUAUCCAUCAUUAGUAUAGGUGAGAAAAAUAUUUGAAAAUAUAAGUCAAUAAAAUUCAUCAGUACAUGAUAAAAUCUAACAGGCAUGUUAUGUAUAUACAAGGAAUGUAAAAUGGCUAACUCAUGAAAAUCAAUCAAUCAAUCAUUACAUUAACAGAAAAAGAUGAACACAAUUUUAUGAUCACCUCAGUAGAUAUAACAGAAUUUGUGGGAUACAAAGUCAAUAUACAAGAAUCAAUAUAAUUUCUAUAAUUUAGAGCAAAACAGAAAAUAUACCUUACAAUGAAUUUACAAUUGUUAAAAACAUAAAUAUCUUAGGUAAAAUUAGGCUGUAGAUGGACAAAUUCUUUACAUUAAAACUUACAAAGUACUGCUAAGAUGAAUUUAAAAAAACCUAAAAAUGGAGAGCUAUAUUCACAGACAAGAAGGCUCGCCAUGUUUAAAUUGUCACUUUCACCAACUGGAUGUAUAAUGUCACUUCAUUCCCAAUCCUACCACCAAUAAGUUUUAGAGUUUUGUUUUGUUUGAUUAAUAGCAAGUAACAAGUAUAUCAUAAUUUAUUUUUCUUUUGGAAGCCAAACCUGUAUCAUAUGGAAGUUUCCAGGCUAGGGAUUGAAUCAGAGCUGCAGCUGAGGCCUCUGCCACAGACACAGCAAUGCUGGAUCCAAGCUACACCUGCAAACUUCACUGCACCUUGUGGCAGUACUAGAUCUUUAAGCCACUGUAUCAGGCCAAAGAUCACACCCACAUCCUCACGGGCACUAUGCCAGGUUCUUAACCCACAGAACCACAGUUGGAACUCCAAAUUAUAUAGAAAUAUUAAGAACCUAGUCUAUACAGACAAAUGUUGAUUAAAAACAAUUUGGUGAACCUAACUUCAAAUUUCAAUAUAGAGCUAAAGUAAAACCAAAAAAGGAUAACUAAAUAAUAAUUGGUGAAAACAGAACGCAGCUCAGAAAUUCUCAUGCAUUGGUUUUCUGCAAUACCACUCAAGCAAUUUAAUAACUAAGGGCAAAUGUUUCUUUAACAAAUAGUACUAGAAAAAGUGAAUUUAUAGGAGAAUGGGAAACUCUAGACUCAUCUCUUUCCACAUACAAAAUUAUUCAAUAACUUUGCAACUUUGGGUUAAGGAAAGUAUUCUUGGUCCAGACAUAGAAAAAAAUAAUAAAAUGAAACCAAUUAAACUUCAAUGAAACAAAAUCUUUCUGCUUGUUCAAAAAGAUACUUCUGGAGUUCCCAUACCGAUGCAGUGGAAACAAAUCUGACUAGCAACCAUUAGGUUGCAGGGUCUAUCCUGGCCUCGCUCAGUGGGUUAAGGAUCCGGCAUUGCUGUGAGAAGUGGUGUAGGUUGCAGACACGGCUCGCAUCCUGAGUUGCUGUGGCUCUGGUGAAGGCUGGCAGCUGUAGCUCCAAUUAGAUCCCUAGCCUGGGA
rnacentral:lncRNA from 1 species